rnacentral:rRNA from 1 species
AUUGAACGCUGGCGGCAGGCUUAACACAUGCAAGUCGAGCGAGCGGCGGACGGGUGAGUAAUGUAUGGGGAUCUGCCCGAUAGAGGGGGAUAACUACUGGACACUGUGGCUACUACCGCAUACUAUCGGAUGAACCCAUAUGGGAUUAGCUAGUAGGUGGGGUAAAGGCUCACCUAGGCGACGAUCUCUAGCUGGUCUGAGAGGAUGACCAGCCACACGGGGACUGAGACACGGCCCAGACUCCUACGGGAGGCAGCAGUGGGGAAUAUUGCGCAAUGGGGGCAACCCUGACGCAGCCAUGCCGCGUGAAUGAAGAAGGCCUUCGGGUUGUAAAGUUCUUUCGGUAGCGAGGCGUUAACUACAGAAGAAGCACCGGCUAACUCCGUGCCAGCAGCCGCGGUAAUUC